rnacentral:rRNA from 1 species
UAACGGCUCACCAAGGCGACGAUCCCUAGCUGGUCUGAGAGGAUGACCAGCCACACUGGAACUGAGACACGGUCCAGACUCCUACGGGAGGCAGCAGUGGGGAAUAUUGCACAAUGGGCGCAAGCCUGAUGCAGCCAUGCCGCGUGUAUGAAGAAGGCCUUCGGGUUGUAAAGUACUUUCAGCGGGGAGGAAGGGAGUAAAGUUAAUACCUUUGCUCAUUGACGUUACCCGCAGAAGAAGCACCGGCUAACUCCGUGCCAGCAGCCGCGGUAAUACGGAGGGUGCAAGCGUUAAUCGGAAUUACUGGGCGUAAAGCGCACGCAGGCGGUUUGUUAAGUCAGAUGUGAAAUCCCCGGGCUCAACCUGGGAACUGCAUCUGAUACUGGCAAG